UCAAGAGCGAUUUCAUUAUUAGCCAGCAUUUCAUGGUUAGCCUGUGAAAAUAGUAAAUGUGUGUGUGUGUAAAUAAAUUAUAUUUUUACAAGAAAAUAUCACUUGAGGACGAAACCUCUUUAUACGGCCUCCCAGCAAAAGACGAGAAGACCAUAAUAUCCUGAACGGAAUGCUGCGGUGUGUUCGUGGACGUCAGCCAUCUACAUCGCUGCAACAAGUCGUCAUUCUGGAAGUCAUACAACCAGGCAGGCUCCUGCAGAAGUUCUAGGGGAGUUUGAAAUUG